rnacentral:misc_RNA from 1 species
AAGUCGUAACAAGGUUUCCGUAGGUGAACCUGCGGAAGGAUCAUUAACACGUAUCCAACGUUAAACAACCCAUAUGGGCUUUACGCCCCUUCAUUCACCCCUUGCCUAAUCAAGCCCCGCGGAAACGCCGGGCAAAAAAAUCUGAACAACUCUUAAAUGGAUAUCUUGGUUCUC